rnacentral:rRNA from 1 species
UACGUAGGGUGCAAGCGUUGUCCGGAAUUAUUGGGCGUAAAGAGCUCGUAGGCGGUCUGUCGCGUCUGCUGUGAAAAUCAGGCUCAACCCUGGACCUGCAGUGGGUACGGGCAGACUAGAGUGUGGUAGGGGAGAUCGGAAUUCCUGGUGUAGCGGUGAAAUGCGGCAGAUAUCAGGAAGAACACCCGUGGCGAAAGGCGGACUCCUCGUGG